AACGAACGCUGGCGGCAGGCUUAACACAUGCAAGUCGAACGCAUCCUUCGGGGUGAGUGGCAGACGGGUGAGUAACGCGUGGGAACGUGCCCUUCAGUUCGGGAUAACCCAGGGAAACUUGGGCUAAUACCGGAUACGUGCGAGAGCAGAAAGAUUUAUCGCUGAAGGAUCGGCCCGCGUCUGAUUAGCUAGUUGGUGGGGUAAUGGCCCACCAAGGCGACGAUCAGUAGCUGGUCUGAGAGGAUGAUUAGCCACAUUGGGACUGAGACACGGCCCAAACUCCUACGGGAGGCAGCAGUGGGGAAUAUUGGACAAUGGGCGCAAGCCUGAUCCAGCCAUGCCGCGUGAGUGAUGAAGGCCUUAGGGUUGUAAAGCUCUUUCAGUGGGGACGAUAAUGACGGUACCCGCAGAAGAAGCCCCGGCUAACUUCGUGCCAGCAGCCGCGGUAA
rnacentral:rRNA from 1 species